rnacentral:sRNA from 1 species
AAGAAGUCCUAAGAAAAAUGCCCAUGUGCUUUCUGGCAUGGUGAUUUGCACCACAAAGAACUAAAGAUGAUGUCAGACCAAGCUUCUUCCUUUCUCUCUCCCCACAUAGGAUGAAGAUUUGAUAAAGUGGAAGGCACUGUUUGAGGAAGUCCCUGAGUUACUCACUGAGGCAGAGAAGAAGGAAUGGGUUGAGAAACUGACUGAAGUUUCUAUCAGCUCUGAUGCCUUCUUCCCUUUCCGAGAUAAUGUAGACAGAGCUAAAAGGAGUGGUGUGGCGUACAUUGCGGCUCCCUCCGGUUCGGCUGCUGACAAAGUUGUGAUUGAGGCCUGUGACGAACUGGGAAUCAUCCUCGCUCAUACGAACCUUCGGCUCUUCCACCACUGAUUUUACCACACACUGUUUUUUGGCUUGCUUAUGUGUAGGUGAACAGUCAUGCCUGAAACUUUGAGAAUAACUUUUUAAAAAAAUAAAACAGUAUCUCUUAA